rnacentral:rRNA from 1 species
UAACAAGGAUUCCCCUAGUAACGGCGAGUGAAGCGGGAUGAGCUCAAAUUUAAAAUCUGGCAGUCUUCGAUUGUCCGAGUUGUAAUCUAGAGAAGCGUUUUCCGCGCUGGACUGUGUACAAGUUUCCUGGAUACGGAACAUCAUAGAGGGUGAGAAUCCCGUCCUUGACACAGACUCCCAGUGCUCUGCGAUGCGCUCUCGACGAGUCGAGUUGUUUGGGAUUGCAGCUCAAAAUGGGAGGUAAAUUCCUUCUAAAGCUAAAUAUUGGCGAGAGACCGAUAGCGAACAAGUACCGUGAGGGAAAGAUGAAAAGCACUUUGGAAAGAGAGUUAAACAGUACGUGAAAUUGUUAAAAGGGAAACGAUUGAAGUCAGUCGCGUCCGCUUGGACUCAGCCUUACCUCGGUAGGGUGCAUUUCCUUGUGGACGGGCCAGCGUCCAUGUUGUCCGUCGGAAAAGGUGCGUGGGAAUGUGGCUUCUUCGGGAGUGUUAUAGCCCAUGUUCGCAUACGGCGGGUGAUAUGGAGUGGUACAGCAUGCUUCGGCGGUGCUUGUGCUGGCAUAAUGGCUUUAAACGACCCGUCUUGAA